rnacentral:lncRNA from 1 species
UAGCAAGGAGACUCAUUUAAGCAAAGGACACUUCCUGAAGUGUCCCCUUUUCCCUGGGCUCUUUCUCCAGCGGAGCAAUGUGAUCCACAAGCAAGGAGGGACACCAAUAAGGCAUCCAGUUGAAGACUCCAGAACCCUAAUGACACACAAUGAAGGACUGUACUUGAGAUGAUCUUAUGAGCAAGUGCAAACCAAGACUGAGAAAGCCAGGUGCAUCACCUGAGCAUCUACAGCCUGGAAACCAGCCGCUCUCAGCUCUUCAGUGGGGGCAGGGGACACAUGCUCAUGGCACAGCACUCAUGCGGAGGUCAGAAGAAAACCUACAGGGAAUCGGGGCUCCUCUAUCCUCUGUUUGGUUCCUA